UGGGGAAUCUUCCGCAAUGGGCGCAAGCCUGACGGAGCAACGCCGCGUGAGUGAAGAAGGGUUUCGACUCGUAAAGCUCUGUUGUCGGGGACGAAUGUGGAGGUUGUGAAUAACAGCAUCCAAUGACGGUACCUGACGAGGAAGCCACGGCUAACUACGUGCCAGCAGCCGCGGUAAUACGUAGGUGGCGAGCGUUGUCCGGAAUUAUUGGGCGUAAAGGGAGCGCAGGCGGGAGAUCAAGUCUAUCUUAAAAGUGCGGGGCUCAACCCCGUGAGGGGAUGGAAACUGGUCUUCUUGAGUGCAGGAGAGGAAAGCGGAAUUCCUAGUGUAGCGGUGAAAUGCGUAGAUAUUAGGAGGAACACCAGUGGCGAAGGCGGCUUUCUGGACUGUAACUGACGCUGAGGCUCGAAAGCGUGGGGAGCGAACAGGAUU
rnacentral:rRNA from 1 species